GCUGCUCUGAGCUCUGAAGGGAAAAUACUACCCAGGAACUCAUUGUCUACAAAGAAGAGGCAGGCAACUGAGACUGCAGGCCAAAGACUUGAUUAGAACACUGUGUCUGGCAGGCUCUGUGCAGCUGUCCCCGUUGAGGUUUGGCAAAACACUUUGGGAGUUAGUAUUUUGUUUUUCGCCACUCACAGCAGCAUCUUGCCCACCUCCCAUCACCCGGAGAAACGAAGUGAGAGGCUCUACAGUUUGUUGCAGAGCACCAAGAGACUCAACUUAGCCAAAACAAAUGGUUCCUCCAGUUUCUUCGGACUACUCCAUCUGAGUCAAUGGGACUGCCCUGUGCCUACAAGAAAAGAUGUGUGCAGUGUUGCUGUGUCAGACCUAGGAUAUUAGCGCGACAAGGAGCUGCUGUGUGGGCAAGUCACCUGACCAGUCAGUGCAUCAGUUUCCCUCAUUUGCUUACACAAGUCGAGAACAUGAAGUCCUUACACGCACGCAAAGCUCUUAUUGGCACUUGCUUCCCGUGAACAUUUAUUAUAACCUUCCCCCACCCACCCACAAGUCGUCUACUUGCCUGAAGCAGCUUCCUUCCUUUUUUCUUUUGGUUUGAGAUGCUGGACUAGAGAAAGGGGUCACAUGUGACUAGCUUAGCCUAUUGAAUUUAGAUAAUCUAUCAGAUUCAGCAGGUAUUUGCAGACUGAUAUAAACAACAGCCUUUCCCACAGAACGCUCCCGCUGCACCUCACUUAUAAAGUACGUCUUUUUAUUACAAAUAUGAGACUAUAUAGAGAUCUACAGGAUGAAUGUUUAAAAUAUGGUUCUAGUUUUGUUAGUCACUGUUUAGAACUGUUAUUCCUACAUCAGCAUUAAGGAAAGCAAGUUGUUUGCUACUUACGAUUAUUGGUUUUUCAUUUAAUUAAAGGCUUAGCCUUAUGCUCCAGUAUCCACAGAGCCAGUUAAUGCUUAAUUGAUAUUGUGAUAUUCAUUUCUUCAUUGCCUUGUGUAGCUGCAAGGGGAGGGGUAGGAACUCUAGAUCUGGGGCUGGGGUGGGGUGAGUUAAAUAGUACUAUGAAUCCACAAAAAGAUUUCUCAGUCAUCCCCGUCUGGUUGCCGAAAGGGGAUUAGAGAGGACUAGAAAUGUUGGUACCUUGGAUCCUGAAAACACACCUGUGCAUUGUUUGUGAGCAAGGCUGGAUUAAGGUAACUGGUGCCCUACACAAACCAGGAAAUGGAUUUCCAUCUCCCAUGGCCCUGCUCUGCUGCCCUCCCCUACACUGUGACACCCACCCCCACUCAGAGCGGCAAUAGUAGGGAACCUUCUAUCCUUCCAGACAGGCAGAGGCAAUAAGCCCCCCACACCCCACCCCACUAUCAACAGUAGUAGGUGCCCUCUUUCCUCACCAGAGGGUCUGGGGGCAUCAGCUGGAGCCUAGUACUCACAUCCUUGUUGUGGGGUAUGUGCUUGGAUGCGUGGGCAUGGCCCAUUGCACUCUUCUCCUCUUCCCACACACAAUCUUCAUUUGAAAUGGGGCAGGGUUAACACUGUACUGAGGUGACGAGGCCAUUUCACACCUCUCAGAGCUAUUGUUUCCGAUUGUCUGCAGACACUACUGCACUGGUUACACGAGUCACAUUUUCAAGCUUCUCUUUCCCAAUAACGAGUGCUAGAAAUAUACUUUUUUUUUUUAAAUGAGGGAUGAGAUUCUGAUGUAAUCACAUGACUCCAAAAGUUGGGGCCCAAGGCAUGGAUCUCUAGUGCUUAUGUGUUAAUCUGGCCUUGUGUGAGAAUUAUCACUGUUUUGAGAGAGAAAAAUAAUGCUAUACUGAGACCAGUACUGGCAGGACAUAGCAUACUGAAACUCUCUGCAUCAGUAACUAUAUUUUCUUGGCAUAGUGAAAGACAGGGAAUAGAGGAAACUUAUAAUGUAAAGAUAAUUUGUGUUCUUAUUCAACAGUCUCUACAGGAUGGCUAUUAUUGAUAUAAGAUUUCAUAUCUGCUGAACAAUAACCACCAGCUGCGAUAAAACUCAUCAUUGUCACCCCUGCUAUAACUACAAUUCAGAUGCUAUUUUCACCCUGUAUGAAUCAAUACUAUGUCAAUAUACACUGUGUUUUAAAUAGGUCUUGGGGACAUUGUUCAGAGCUCUCUAAGUGAAUUCAGUGGAAUCUGAACAGCCUGGCCUGGGGAAAUGGGGCUAAAGAAAAGAUACAAAUGUAAAAAUCCAAAUGUUAGAGCAAGAUGUCCAAACCUAUAUGAAAGAAUUAAGCACUAUCCUUAAAACAUACAUGCCUAGUGCAUGCUAACCUCAGUUUAUCCAUCAUUCUGAUGCUUUGUCUUUUAAAAUGUGAUGCCAAACUCCAAAUCAGCUCUGUCAAAUUUCAGUCUGUUUUUCAAAAUUGCUCUUAGCCGUGGCUCGGCAUGACAUGUGUGUGAUAUUGCUCCCAAUCAAAGAUAAAAUCAUUACAUUUUUUUUUAAUCAAGAAAAGUAAAUGAAUGUGUUUGUGGAAUUGCAGGCAGGGAUAAUAUCUGGCUCCUUGUUCUAUACUUACCAAAUGUGUUUCCUGUUGCCUUCUAAGUAGCGUUUACCAAAAUACUGUGAAUGGUUAAUGUGCAGAUGAAAUGUCAAUAAAGAUCAAAAGGAGGAGUGAAGACAAUGAUUUAUUUCAAUAUGUAAAGGCUAGUGCUUCUAUAUGGAAAACUACUGCAGCCAACAGCCCCAAACUCUGAUUAUUGCUAUCUGCCUACAUUCAAAAGGCGGGGUUUGCAUGAAGGCGGGAGGCUUUGCUUCUAUCAUGUUUUUGUUAAAGAGCUUAGUUCUGCCUAUGCCCAAUGUUUAA